CCACAUAUGGGAAGCAAGACCAGCAUCAGGAAGGUUCUAGAACUCACUUUACCACCUCCAGAAUUCUCUCUUCUCCAAAUUCAUUCUCAAGACUUCACCACUGCACAGAGGAGGAAUAUGCUGAGGUUGUGUCUGGGUCCAGUCCCCACCCCACAGCCAGCUGAGGGACCACUAGGAACCACUGUGAGAAUCAGGAAGAAUGCUCCUUCCUCUGCACAGAUCCACUUCUGUGCAAGGCCACUCAAGAUUUGGAGGAGGAGCUGGGACUGGCCAUCAGCCCCCACUUCACCUCUGUCAACCCAACACUUGGGGACCAUGAUAUCACACUUCCAAAGUCCUUACCCCACGCGGGCCCCUAAUGUUUAAUGUGAGUUCCUUAUAGUCCCACAGAACCUCUCACUAAAUACUCACCCCAUUCGAAUACCUGGGUCUCUGUGCCUGGAAUCUCAUUUCCCUACUCUACCCAGUGAACAUCUAUUCAUCCUUCAGAACCCAACUAGAUGUGCCCUCCUCUGUGAAGCCCCUGCCUGUCCCCCACCCCCUGCAAAGCCAGUAGCACCACCUCAGAGCCUAAUCCUACCUGUUCCCCAGAGUUCAUGGGUUGGUCCCAGAAUCCUGCUACCUAGAACCCACUGUCCCACCCCAACCCCAAAGGCAGAAUACGCCAUCAAAUCCUGUAUGACUUGUCCCCUAACUUGCCAGCCCCUCUGGAACCCCACUGGGAUUCUCCCCUCCCACAACCUUACAGAUUUAAGGCAGAAUGGGAAACUGGAAAUCCAAGUAGCCCAGAAGCUCCCCACCCCCACUCUGCCCUCACAGGAGCUGGUCCUGACCGAAGAUUCCCAGCACAUCUGGUUGUACUUAAAUCAUCCAGCACUGGACUGGGCUGCCUGGGCAGGUUCCCGCUUCUCUCCCUCCUGCCCUUGACUCCUCCCCUUCCUAGCCCAGCCUGCCAGCUCUCUCCUCCAGGAGGCCUUCCCUGACUGGCCUAGCCUCUGUACCUACACCCUUGACUAUCUCUCUGGGUUGAGGGUCUAGAGGGUGCACGCUCAGCAAGGCUUGGUGUGUGGGCCCCCAUCCUGCCUAAGCACUGAUCCUGUAUAGAAACCAUCCCUCCAGACAGGGAGGGGAGCCAACCAAGUUCCUCCCCUCUGCUCCCUUAAUCUCUAGGGUGGUUGCCCUCAGCAUCUGGUGGUGUAGCAGGGAGGGAAUCGGUUCCUUCAGUGCCUUGGUUCAGAUAGACAGCCAGCAGAUCCUGCUGCCGUCAUUGUCCAAAAGUCUCAUAAAAUAUUACGAAAGGGGAAGAGCCUGACAUGGUGGUGUACACACCUCUAGCCGCAGCACCCAAGAGAUUCCUUCAGCCCAGGAGUUUGUGCUUCGUGGUCACCAUGGACAACAUAGGGAAAAAAAAGAAAGAAAGAAAGGAGGUGGGGAGGGGUAAUAAAUGCAGAUAAUAUAGCAAGUACAAAAAGACAAGGCUGGCUGAGUACAGUGGUACAGGCCUGUAAUCUAGCAGCUUGGAAGGCUGAGGCAGGAGGAUCAAGAGUCCAAAGCCUCAGCAACUUAGUGAGGCUGUCUCUAAAUAAAAUACAAAAAAAGGGCUGGGGGUGUGGGUCAGUGGUUAAGCACCCUGAGUUCAAUCCCCAGUACACACACACACACACACACACACCAAAAAAAAAAAUAGGUGACAAAGAAUGGGAUUGUGAGGUUAUGGAUCUACCAUGACAGGCCCCACCAGGGCUCCAUAUUCAAAUGUUCAGUCUUUCAUUCCAUAGCAUGUACUGAUGUCUAUGAGUAGUAAGUUAUAGGAAUAAAGACUUGAUUAACAAUGGGCUGGGGAUACAGCUCAGUUGGUAGAGUGCUUGCCUUGCAUGCACAAGGCCCUGGGUUCAAUCCCCAGUACCCCACACACACACACACACACAAAAGACUUGAUUAAUAAGACUCCAAUACUUCCUAGAGAAAUCGGGGAGUGGGGGGUGGGCAGUGAGAGGAGCAGGGGGAUGAACAGACACAAGGUAUGUGAGGGGCUUGAGUCAGGGGCAGGGUGCAGUGGUUGAGGGGCCAGAGCUGAGUAUGGGCUCCAUCACUUUCCUGCUGUUGUCCCUGGGAGCCACUUAACCUCCUGAAGCCUGUCUCCCCACCUGGAAAAGGGGAUAGUGUGACCUCACAGAGUUGUGGUGGGAUUCAAAUAAGAUAAUGUGCAAAUAAGAUAAUGUGUGUGGAGCACUUUCUCAAGUGCUAAGGGAGUUGUUGCUAUUGUGAUCAUUAGCUCAGAUGUUGCUCACUCGUGUAAUGCUUCAACAGCUACCUGUGCUUACCCUCAGAGCAGAAGAGAAACUUCAGUGAAGGAGGCCUAGUCCAGGGCAGCAGGCAGCUAGGAUGUACACACACACACACUUUGCUUAUACAAGUGAUAAAAUACCUUUAAAAAAAAAAUCAGAAAAUAUGCCUGGCAUGGUGGCAUGUGCCUUGGUCUCACCUACUCCGGAAGCUGAGGCAAGAGGAUCACUUGAGUUCAGUUUAAGGCCAGCCUCAGCAAUUUAGUGAGACCUCUGUAUAAAUAAAUAAAAUAAGGUACACCAGUAGGUAUGUUUUUAAAAAAUAAAAAAUUAGACACCUUUAGGGGUUCGGCUGUGGCUCAGUGGUACAGCACUUGCCUAGAAUGCGUGAGGCACUGGGUUCUAUCUUCAGCACCACAUAAAAAUAAACAAACAAACAAAAAAGGCAUUCUGUCCAUCUCCAACUACAAAAAAAAAAAAAAAAAAAAUCAAACACCUUUAUCCCACUAACCAGAAGUAACCAUUGGUAAAUUCUUGGAAUCUGCCAAAUAUAGAUACAGAUAUGCGGAAAAAGAGAAAGAUCUGCACAGCAUUUUGCAAUCUGCUUUUCUCAGUAGACAAAUAUUUUUCCUAUCUGCAAAACACUGUAUAAUGGGGGCAGGGGGUAUGAACCCUGGGUGCUCUAUUACUGAGCCCUUUUUCUAUUUUUAUUUUGAGACAGGGUCUCACUAAAUUAUCAGGCUGACCUGGAAUUUGCAAUCCUCCUCUCUCAGCCUCCCCAGUACCUGGGAUUACAGGGCUGUGCCAGUACACCUGGCUAUUCCUGGGUAGCCUCACCUGGAGGAGCUCCCACACACACAUGGUAGGUACUUACACUAAGUACUGAGGAUGGAAUGCUCCCAGGACCAGACCACUGAGUCAGCCUUUUUUUUUUUUUAAAUAUCCCAGCCCCCAGAAUUGAACCCAGGGGUUCUUUACCAAUAUGCUAUAUCCCCAGCCCUUUCUGUUUGUUUGUUUGUUUUAAUACAGAGUCUCACCAAAUUGCUUAGGGCCUCCCUAAUUUUUUUUAAUCUCUAUUUUAUUUAUUUAUUUUUAUGUGGUGCUUAGGAUUGAACCCAUGGCCUUGAACCCAGGGCCUCCCUAAAUCGAUGGGGUUGGCUUCCAAUUUGCCAUCCUCCUCUCCUCAGCCUGAGUAGCUGGGAUUAAAGGCAGGUACCCCCCGCACUUUUGGGGAGGGUAACCUGGAUGGAACCGAGGGGUGCUUAACUACAGAGCCAAAUCCCCAGCCCUUUUUUAUUUUCAGACAGGGUCUCGCUAAAUCACUGAGGCUGGCCUCAAAUGCUCCUGCCUCCAGCCGCUUGGAUUACAGAUAAAGUUUGAUGAGUAAGCUUGUGAGGCCACCUGUGUGCGCACCUGUGAGAUUGCUGCUUACAAUCAUUCCUGGGGACGUUAUGGGUGCCUGUCCUUAGCUGCCAGGAGCCUCCAGGUGGCUCUUCCAGGACCCAGUACUUUCAUCUCUCAGACCUGCCCUGGAAGCCCAGGAAACUGCCCUGAAGGCCUCACCACACCGCCAGGGGCCUGGGAAGAGCACAAAGCCACCAAGCCACCAAGCCACCGGAAGCCGCCCCGCCCUCCCGCCGACAUUCCUCCCGACAAUGGCUGCCUCGGGAAUCCGCGGAAUGAGGAGGCCCGUGGCCUCCCAAACCCACUCCCCUCCACCCCGCAUCUAUGCGUACCCGCUCCAGGCCCGCAGCCCCGCGCCCUGCUCCCCACGCCCAUCCCCAGCGCCAGGUCCUUGGCAGGCCCUGCUGCCUCUCAGGCGGCUACUCUCCGACUGUAAAAUGGGGGACUUGGGGUCAGUGGCUGCUGAAUUCCCCACGGAUCACAAACACGUAAAAAACCUGAACAGGUUUUGGGGCCAGAGUGCUCAGGUUGAAAUCCGCAUCUGCCCUAGUUUACCCUGUGAAUUCAGUGCCCUGGGCCCCAGCUUUCCCCUAAAAGUGGGUUGAUAUAUACCAGCACCUUCUCAUUGGCCAACCAGAGGCUAAUCUGUCAAAAUCUAUGAAUGGGGACCAAUGAUUAACUCGGUCCAAAACCCAACUAGACACCAUCCCCAGUCCUUUCUCAUGCCCAGUGCAGAUUUUGGCCCCUGGAUAUUUGCCCAACCAUUGGCCACACCAAUGGAAGCUAAGAAGAGCAUCCCUCUGCAGGUUUCCAUAACCCCUCCUAUUAGCCAUGAAGUUGUGAAUGGGUAAACCCAUAAAGAAUUUGGGUGUCAAAUAAAAGUUGAAAGGUAGGAAACCCA